rnacentral:lncRNA from 1 species
AGUGGCUGGUCCUGCUCUUAGAGUAUCUUGGUGCUGCUGGGUUUCGAUCCCGCUCCCUAGGUUAUGCAGGGACCUCUAUAAGCGCUGCGUACUCCUGCAAUUUUUAAAAUUGUUAAUUUAAUUUUUACUUGAAAUAUAUUCACAUAGCAUAAAAUCUGUCCUUUAAACAUGUACCCUCUAGUGGUCUUUUUCGGUUUUUUCUUUCUUUUUUUUUUUUUUUUCUGAGGUGUCUCGCUCUGUCGCCCAGACUGGAGUUCACAGUUCACUGCAGCCUGGACUUCCUGGGCUUAAGUGAUCCUCUCGCCUCAGCCUCCCGAGUAGCUGAGACCACAGGUGCCUGCCACCACGCCCGGCUAAUUUUCUCAAAGUUUUUGCAGAGACGAGCGUCUCACUGUGUUGCCCAAGCUGGUCUUGGACUCCUGAGCUCAAGGGAUCCUCCUGGUUUGACCUCCCAAAAUGCUGGGAUCACAGGUGUGAGCCACUGCCUCCGGCUUUGUUUAUGUUUUCAAAGUGUGCCAACCAUCAGCACUAAUUUUUUUUUUUUUUUUGACAGAGUCUCACUUUGUAACCCAGGCUGGAAUGCAGUGGUGCAAUCUCGGCCCGUUGCAACCUCUGCCUUCCAGAUUCAAGUGAUUCUCAUGCCUCAGCCUCCCGAGUAGCUGGGAUCACAGUCGUGCGCCACCACACCCGUCUAAUUUUUGUAUUUUUUUUUUUUUUUUUUUUUAGUAAAGACGGGGUUUCGCCAUGUUGGCCAGGCUGGUCUCGGUCUUGAACUCCUGACCUCAAGUGGUCCACCCGCCUCGGCCUCCCAAAGCUGGGAUUACAGGCGUGAGCCACCGCGCCCAGCCUAACCAUAAUUUUAGGCCAUUUUCAUCACCCCGAAAAGAAACCCCAUACCUAUUAGCAGUUACUCUUUAUUACCCACCUCCCUCCUCCCAACCCCUGGCAACCACUACUCUACUUUCUAUUUCCAUGGAUUUACCUAAUCUGGACAUUUCAUAUACACUGUGAAUGGAAGCAUACAUUAUGUGGUCUUUUGUGACUGACUUCUUUCACUUAGCAUAAUGUUUUAAAACGCACCCAUAUUGUAGCAUGUAUCAAAGCUUCAUUACUGGCCAGGCACAGUUGUGGCUUACGCCUGUAAUCCCAGCACUUUGGGAGUCUGAGGCUGGCGG